AUUGAACGCUGGCGGAAUGCUUUACACAUGCAAGUCGAACGGCAGCACGGGGGCAGCCCUGGUGGCGAGUGGCGAACGGGUGAGUAAUACAUCGGAACGUGCCCGGUCGUGUGGGAUAACGUAGCGAAAGUUACGCUAAUACCGCAUACGAUCUGAGGAUGAAAGCGGGGGACCUUCGGGCCUCGCGCGAUCGGAGCGGCCGAUGUCAGAUUAGGUAGUUGGUGGGGUAAAGGCCUACCAAGCCGACGAUCUGUAGCUGGUCUGAGAGGACGACCAGCCACACUGGGACUGAGACACGGCCCAGACUCCUACGGGAGGCAGCAGUGGGGAAUUUUGGACAAUGGGCGCAAGCCUGAUCCAGCCAUUCCGCGUGCAGGACGAAGGCCUUCGGGUUGUAAACUGCUUUUGUACGGAACGAAAAGGCUCUGGCUAAUACCUGGGGCUCAUGACGGUACCGUAAGAAUAAGCACCGGCUAACUACGUG
rnacentral:rRNA from 1 species